CCCAAUUCAAGGAAUAAACGACAUAUAUCAACGGCUCAGACUCUCCCACGACGUUAUAGCCACGUCAAACUAAUUUUCGACAGGGUCAUCCUCAUUCAUCCGGAUUAGGUUGCCACAGUUUUUAAACCCUAGUUCCUCUCUAUAAAUACUAAAAGAUCCCCUCUGUUUUCAUUCCUUCCAACCCUGCGAAUAUCGGAAGAAAUCGGCGAAAUUUCCUUGGCGUAAUUUUGAAUCGAAGAUGAGAGCUAAGUGGAAGAAGAAGCGUAUGAGGAGGCUCAAGAGGAAGCGCCGAAAGAUGAGGCAGAGAUCUAAGUAGUCUACCAACGGUGUCAAUUGAUGGGAUGAUAUUCUCUCCUGGAAUGUAUUCUACUUCAAUCACCUUGAAGAAGGUUUCUGUUACAGGCGGCGACUAUCUUAUCCCGUCUUUUGCGGCUUUUCUAAUGUUUCGCUUUUAGGUUUCCGAGUACUAUCUUUAAGUUAGAGUUUUAAUUUUGAGUAUAAAACCUUGUUGGAUAGCCUUCUUGCAACGUUGUUUUGUUAUAUCUGACUAUAUUUUAAAACCUGAUUCAGAAAAUUAUUAGAUCGUGGAUUUGUCUUGUA